UACAGAGGUCCCAAGCGUUGUUCGGAUUCACUGGGCGUAAAGGGUGCGCAGGUGGGUUUGCAAGUUCGAUGUGAAAGCCCCGGGCUUAACCCGGGAAUGGCAUUGGAUACUGCAGAUCUGGAGGAUCGGAGGGGGGACUGGAAUUCUUGGUGUAGCAGUGAAAUGCGUAGAUAUCUGGAGGAACACCGGUGGCGAAGGCGACAUCCUGGACCGGUAUUGACGCUGAGGCGCGAAAGCCAGGGGAGCAAACGGG
rnacentral:rRNA from 1 species